GCCUUCGGCCGGCACCACACCGGUGUCCGAAGCUUAACGAUUGUUUCUCCCACUUUGUCUUCUGCAGGUUUCCCAUCAACCUAUAUUUCACCAAAGGCCUCAGCCCUCUUCCCUGCUGAAGACCCAGCACAUCUAAUCACUAAGUUGGACUCAAUAUUGGCCGGGCCAUUUUGAGCAUCAACAACUAUAAAUUUCACCAUGGAAGCGGAAGUGUUUGGGUCGCCUCGUUCAACCCAUAUUUUACAUGAAGACAUUCUACAAUUUGGUGAAAUGUCAAAGAUAUCAGGCACAUGCAUAGUGGUAUACAUGAGGGUGUGGAGACAUUAGUCAAAGAUCACGUGUCUUAGCAACUCGGUUUUCAUCAGCACAUCCUAACAAGAUUUUCUUAAUUCCUUACAACUCCGGGUCAGUCUAAAAUGCUAUCUAAGAGGUUUAUCUAAUUACUUAGAAAUAAAUAAUGUGAAAAAGUGAAUUGGUUGCCUUAUGAUGGAUUUAUUUCAUAUUCUACUACGUUGGCAGAAAUCAUUGGAUGUUGACUAUUGUUAAUGUGGACAAAGAGACCAUUUAUUUCAUGGAUCCCCUAAAUAGGAUCAUCAUUGAUGAGGAAUGGAAAUAAGUUGUAAACACGUAUGUUUGUCAAAGUUAUUUUUAUUUAAUUCGACUUCAAUGAAAGUUUUAUGAAAUUUUUUUAUCUGUGAUUUCUUGUCAUUCUCUUUGUUGAUGAAGUGCCAUUAAAGUGUUGAAUGUGAAAAGGAAUAGGAAAGGAAGAAAAACACCGCAGUGGAUUAUUUUGAUGGGAACUCCUAAACAACCAACAAAUACGGAGUGUGGAUAUUUUGUGAUGCGUUAUAUGAAGGAGAUUGUUGAAGAUAAAAAUUUGGAAUUUGCAUCUAAGUGGAGUAAAACAAAUGAACCCAAAAUCAAAUUGAUGAAGUACGGCAUGAGUGGGCAGAUUAUGUGAUGACCAACUAUGUGUAGCUCAGACCUCAAAGUAGAUAAGGUUUUUUUUGCUUAGAAGAGUGGAUAAGGCUAUCAACCACUGUUUUGGUUUCUUUUAAACAUGAUUACGUGGCAAUCACUUUGGUUGUCAUUUUGUGAAUGGUAGAAUUUUCACAUAGAAUGUACAAAGUUUUAGAUUUUGUGGUUGGUAGCUUUGGGAUGUAUGUACUACAUUCAAAGCUUUAGAUUGCCUGUAGACUUAAAUUGUUGUAAUUGAACAAAUUUUGGAAUGAGUGGUGAUUUCCCCACUCCAAUUUUAUCCACAUACACUCCAUUUUAUAACUAAAAAAGGAGUGUAAGUAGAUAAAAUUGGAGUGGGAAAAUCAUUACCCUUUUGGAAUUGUAUGGUUCGAAUACUUUUCAUAUUGAAAUAUGAAUACAUCAUUGUCCUGCCUAUAUUCGUUAAUUUUGGAAUGCAACAAUAUUAAUUUAAAAAAAUAAAAAAAUCAUAUUCAGUACUAAAGGAAUAUCAUUAUUACAACGGUCACCUUCUUAACUACAACGGUUAGAAAUCAUCUUAUUACAACGGUUAGACCCAACAACCGUUGUAUAAUAAGGACAUUUAUAACGGUUAUUAUGAAAACCGUUGUACAAAGUUAUCAAUAACCAUUGUGGAAAGAACCAUAUUACAACGGUUAUUGAUCAAAACCGUUAUUGAAAGUGACUUACUACAACAGUUAUUGAUUAAAACCAUUAUUGAAAGUGACUUACUACAACGGUUAUUAUAUAAACCGUUGUGGAAAUAACCAUAUUACAACGAUUUUGCUCAAUAACCGUUGUACUAAGAGUUAUACUACAACAGUUAUUGAGCAAAACCAUUGUUGAAAGGGCCAUAUUACAACAGUUGCUCUUUUAUAUCUGUUUUUUAUGAGAAUUGACAACGGUUUUUAAGAAAAACCGUUGUUGAAAGUGACAUAUUACAACGGUUUUUGACCGUUGUCAUAAAUAGAUAGAAAAGACGACACUCCUAACCUCAACGGUUUUAGAAGACUUUCAACAACGGCUAAAAACUAUUGUCUAUUAACUUUAUUGUAGUAGUGAUUCUUCAACCUUUGAUCUUCUUUCCCUCUGUUCCUCGAUUCUUGUAAAGGACAGGAGUAAAUCGACCACACCUCGGGGGUGUUGGCCAAAGACCCUCCGAUACCUAAGUUAGUUCGAUUGAAUCUAGGAGAAACAAUAGCUAAAAAAGUGUAUGAAGAUGUACGUAUGGUGUGAACCGGACGGCCGGAGCCAUGUGUGAUGGCUGAAGCCAUGUAUGUAAAAUAUGGAGAGAGAAAAGUGGUGUGGCUGGCGGUGGUGGCGGCGUCACCGACGGCUAGGGAGAGAGAGAGAUGGAGAGUUUCAGGUAUUUUCUCGAGUUUUAGAAGUAGAUUUUCAGCUACCUUGAAUGAUGAAUGAAGCCAUCUAUUUAUAGGAGCCUCGGAGGCAAGGGUUUCGUAGAGAAUAAAACUCUUAUUAGG